AUGCCCCAAGGAGGAACCAUGGCCCAGAUCCUACUGGCACAACCAAGUGAGAUGCAGAGGCUGGGGGCAGCUGUGGAGAGAAAGAGAUCCCCCAAAACCCCACACGACAGGGGCCACACUCCCAGUAAUGGGUUAAUUCAGGCCUUGCCACCUGCACCUCUCUUGAUUGACACCUGCCAAUCACCCCGACAGCAGCAUGGGCUCAGCACAGUCUGUCCCAGUACCCUGGGUGAUGCCCACCUUGGGGGGUGGCUGUGGUCCCCCAGGCAGGGGACAAGGCCACUGUCAUCCUGCUGCUGCAGCAGGCACUCCAUCCAGUGGUGGCAUGUCCCCAGGCUGGGCCACGCAGCCACCAGCCACAGUGGCCAAACACUCGAGCAGGGAAGGGCCAAGCUACGCCGGGGGACCUUGAGGGGGUCCCCAGUGCUGACACUGGCUCCCACACAGGGAGCUGUGCAGAGGGACCAUGUGUCUACCCUCAGCACCUCAUCCCUGCCCUCAGCCCCCAGAUCCCUGGUGCUCCCUUGUCCCCUCCUCGGGGCUUCCCAAAGGCCACGGCCCCCCAGCCCCUGCUCCCAUCUCUUUCCAUGGCAGAGUCGCAGCUUUGCCCUUUGCUGGGGUCAUGCCACAGGGAGGGGCUCACAACACAAAACCAGUGUCACCCCCACACCCCUCCCUGGAUGGCCCCAGCAGCACCCAGAGGCACUCCCAGCUCUCGGUGCUGCAGGGACAGGGCUGGGCACAAGCAGCCACAUCCCUGCUGGCUUCACCAGGCGGCAGAAGGAUGCACCCAGUGUCCCCCUGCACACCCAGGCCACGGGGCUGCACCCAGGGCGUCACCCAACAGGGACUCGCCACGUUCGGGCUUGUUCAGCGCCACCCAGUCACCCAGUGACUGUGCCUGCAGGGCCAAAGGGAGCAGGGACACAGGGGAUGGCAUGGCCCCAGCCUCCGGGGGAGAGGGGAGACACCCUGAUGCUUUGCCUCCCCCCGGUUUUGUUGGUCCUACAUAAGGACAGGCAGAGCAGCACACGGGGAGGAUGCUGGCGCACACAAAAGCAGCCAGAGCUCGCUGCACUGCUCGGAGAGCUGCGGCGGGCAGAGGUACGGGCUGAGGGAGACACAUGA
rnacentral:lncRNA from 1 species